CCUACGGGUGGCAGCAGUGAGGAAUAUUGGUCAAUGGACGAGAGUCUGAACCAGCCAAGUAGCGUGAAGGAUGACUGCCCUAUGGGUUGUAAACUUCUUUUAUAUGGGAAUAAAAUGUUCCACGUGUGGGCUUUUGUAUGUACCAUAUGAAUAAGGAUCGGCUAACUCCGUGCCAGCAGCCGCGGUAAUACGGAGGAUCCGAGCGUUAUCCGGAUUUAUUGGGUUUAAAGGGAGCGUAGGUGGUUUGUUAAGUCAGUUGUGAAAGUUUGCGGCGCAACCGUAAAAUUGCAGUUGAAACUGGCAGUCUUGAGUACAGUAGAGGUGGGCGGAAUUCGUGGUGUAGCGGUGAAAUGCUUAGAUAUCACGAAGAACUCCGAUUGCGAAGGCAGCUCACUGGACUGCAACUGACACUGAGGCUCGAAAGUGUGGGUAUCAAACAGGAUUAGAUACCCGAGUAGUC
rnacentral:rRNA from 1 species